GAGACUGCUCUUCUGUGGAGUUUUAAUGUGAGCCUGGAUCUUCAGAGAGAGGAGCCUGAAUGCAGGAGUGGCAGUGGGCAGCAGAUGAUGCUCUCUACCUCCAUUUUGUAGAGGAAGCCUGAGAGGAGCAGGCGCUGGCACCAGCAGCAGGAGGAGCAGCCCUGUGUUUCUCUGAUUUUACAGAUGACUGUUAUGUUGCUCGUAUGCUGAAACUGUGUGCCCUCUAUGGAGAUGUCGAACUCAGCUUUAAGAGCUGGAAACCUGAUAGCAGCUUGGAGUUCCCUUGGAAAUCACCAGAGAUGGCCCAAGAGCACCUAAAAGGAAUAGAGUAGCUGAAUGUGGAUCUGUUUUGAGACUGGG